AUAAAAAAAUCUAAGGAGAAGACUAUGAGAGUGCUUAUUCUAUACCGACAUGUUGGAUCACAUGAUUUUGUACAUAAUGAUAACUCAAUUUCUCAACAAGGUAUUAAAAUAAAGUUUCUUAAGAAUUGGUAUUGUAUCAUGAAAUGACUUGACUUUAAUUCUAUAAAUUAAUAGUUUUGGUAUAUUGAAUAACUAGGCUCCAUGACAGGUCCAUACCGAGAAGGGGGGCAUAAGUAUAUGCCAUGUUUUGAUUCAUUUGAUUCCACUAAACAUAUGUACGUGAUUUUUUCUUAUAUUCCUUUGUUUUAGAUGUCUAGUUAUGUUCUUUUUUUUUUUGGAAAAAAGAAUUAGUGUGAUAUUUGAAAACAUUUAUUGUAAUAUGUAGAUGUGUAUACUUCAUGAUCAUGCAAUUGUUACCAUUGUUGUGCAGGAAGUAAAUAAGGCAAGACUUGUCGACGUGUUUGUGUUGUAGUCUGUAGUGCAGGUGGUGAGUUGCUUGUCGAUGGUCACCUAUGGUUUUCCUUGUACAAAGUUAUUGGUUUCGGUUGGUAGCUUAAUUAUAAUGAUGUUGAUGCAUCCAUUUGUUUUAGCUCCUGCUGCUGGUGUUGCUCUGGUUUUUCUCUAGUGCCUCCAAGUCCGGCUAAUGUGUUCUUGUUCGUUGAUCUAUUUUCUGCAAGCCUGAAGAGUUUUAGUGUAUAAGUGUUUGGUUUUGCUUUUGGAAUUUUAGUAUUUCUUUAUAGAGAAGUUUAGUUUGUAUUUUGUUUCAUGGUUUUUUAGUUGUACUUAGCAUAAGUUGUAGGUGUGUAACUUUUGUCCCAAUUUUGGUCCGUCUUGAGUUUGGAUUAGUAUUAAUCAAAUUUAUUUUUCGAUAAAAACAGUCUCUAAAUUUGUAUGUUUAAGGAAUAAAUGAAAGAAAUGAAAAUGACCC
rnacentral:lncRNA from 1 species